CACACUUUCUCUCUCUCUCUGCUGUUACUGUUUCUUUUUCACGUUCCUUUUUCUUCUUUUUUUCUUUACCUUUCUCUGAAACCCUAGUUGCUACCUAGCCUGCGCCGCCAGCCUCCUCUUCGCGUCGCUGGCCUCCUCUCCUCGCGUGGGCACUGGAAUGGCGACACCACAACACCCAGGGCCGCAGCCAUGGCCGCGUGCAGCCAGGUGCCAGCAGCUUCUCGCCUUCUCAAUCUCACUCACUCAGUCCAAUCACUCGCUCCCUUUUCAGGCACCGCCGCCGGCCGCUCCCCCUCUUCCCUCACCCACAACGACACAUCCAAGCCAGAUUAAGGUUCAAUUUGAAGUGAGCAAUUGAUCAAUUUGAAGCCGUGAAGGGAGCAAUUUUCCCCUUUCCAAUCGAUCAAUUUGAAGCUAAGAAGGGAGCAAUCGAGUGGAAUAGAUCAAGCAUUCAAGCCAGAUUAGGGUUCCGUUAGUUGGUUAUUUUCCCCUUUCUUUUUCUGAAAUUUGUAUAGGAAAUUGUUUUUAUGAAAUAGUCCCUCAGGUUUGCCCUUACCUUUGAAUUUUGCCCUUUUUUUCUUUUUUUUUUUGGGCCCCAAAAGAUAAACUCGUCCAAAGAAAAAAAAAUCCCCAGAGCUCGGGCAUAGGCCCUAGCUAGCUAGGCGGUGAAUCCGCCCCUGCUCUUCACGUUGCUUUCUUUCUUCUGCAACACAACCAUUCCUUCUUUUCUUUUCUUUGUCUUUUUUCCUCACUACCUCUCGACUCCCUGUUCCAAGAGAUCUCUCUCUCUCUCAUUUCUUUCCCCCAUCAUCGAAUAUACACAUACAUACACAAAAUAUAUCUACUUAUCUCCACCACUUCUUCUUGCCACAAGUACUGAAGGAAGCAACAUCAAAUUCCAUUUUCAUCUCUACGUAGCCUCACCAUAACUUCUCAUUCAACACCAUCAUCAAUUCAUCUUCUUGUCCAGCACAACACCACUCCUCACCAUCUUUAUCUUCUCAUUUUAUGGUAAAACUUAUCCUCUUUUCUUUGAUAGUAUUUUUAGUUAAUUAAAUUUAUCCUUUUAGUUUCCACACAUAGUGUUUUCAUUAAAGUUAUGACUAUGGAAAUGAUUUAUUGAACCAUGGUUUUUGUUUCUAAAAAGGUUGAGUUCUUGUCUUUGUAAAAAUUUCAAUUAGAGCUUUUUCGGAAGUGCUUUUACAAAUGUUAUUCCCCAUCACCGGAUCUAUGGAUUUCACUGAUUAGUUUUCUAAAAUGUAGUUUUUUUUUAGUUAAGUGAUUUUGGGGUUUUAAGGAUUUUAAUUUUUAAGCCUUGAUUAGUAUGUCUUUAUAUUUGAUUUCUAAAGUUAUUUGGGGUUGAGAUGAAUCAAAAUGGUUUGAAAUAAUGUUUUGGUGCUGAGAACAUGUUGGAAAUUGCAAAAUCACGUUCUGUUACAAAUUCCGUCACAAACAUCAGUAUUCCGUCACAAACAUCAGUUUUCCGUCACUAACAGGAACCUGCAGGGGACAAUUUCCGGUUUCGGUUCUCCAACUUGAAAAUUGCAUAACUCUCUCAUCUCUCAUCCGUUUUAGGUAUAUGACCACUUUUUAGAAAGCCCCAAGAGUCUACUUUGAUAUAAAAUAUAUAUUUGAAACUAUUUUUACUGCUGAUUGGCUGAAGAAAAUAUAUAUUUCAAAUGUACUAUGUUUUGCUAAUCUCUUUACAAAGGUUGUUGUGAUUGAGUAGAGUUCCCUGUUAAUGUAUUUAAUUUUCUAAAAAGUUGAGGACUUGUUUGUCAAAUGGACUUUUGAAGAACCUUUCUUUAAAUCUUACAAAUAUCUUCGGUUUGGACUUUAGUCCUUAAAAUAUAAAGCAUGUGCAUUUGGCCUAAGUGAGCUAGAAAGUUUAGGCAAACUUGUUUUGAAACUUUAGAUGUGACCUUAGAGGCUAAGUUUUAG
rnacentral:lncRNA from 1 species